UACGUAGGGUGCAAGCGUUAAUCGGAAUUACUGGGCGUAAAGCGUACGCAGGCGGCUUUGCAAGACAGGUGUGAAAUCCCCGGGCCUAACCUGGGAACUGCAUUUGUGACUGCAUGGCUAGAGUUUGUCAGAGGGGGGUGGAAUUCCACGUGUAGCAGUGAAAUGCGUAGAUAUGUGGAGGAACACCGAUGGCGAAGGCAGCCCCCUGGGAUGUGACUGACGCUCAUGUAUGAAAGCGUGGGGAGCAAACAGG
rnacentral:rRNA from 1 species